GACGUAGGGUGCAAGCGUUGUCCGGAAUUAUUGGGCGUAAAGAGCUCGUAGGCGGUCUGUCGCGUCGGAUGUGAAAACCCAGGGCUCAACCCUGGGCCUGCAUUCGAUACGGGCAGACUAGAGUUCGGUAGGGGAGACUGGAAUUCCUGGUGUAGCGGUGAAAUGCGUAGAUAUCGGGAGGAACACCUGAGGCGAAGGCGGGCUACUGGGCCGAUACUGACGCUGAUGCGCGAAAGCCAGGGGAGCGAACGGG
rnacentral:rRNA from 1 species